rnacentral:rRNA from 1 species
GUAGGGAAUCUUCCACAAUGGGCGCAAGCCUGAUGGAGCAACACCGCGUGAGUGAAGAAGGGUUUCGGCUCGUAAAGCUCUGUUGUUAAAGAAGAACACGUAUGAGAGUAACUGUUCAUACGUUGACGGUAUUUAACCAGAAAGUCACGGCUAACUACGUGCCAC